rnacentral:rRNA from 1 species
UACGUAGGGUGCGAGCGUUGUCCGGAAUUAUUGGGCGUAAAGAGCUCGUAGGCGGUUUGUCGCGUCGGAUGUGAAAGCCCGGGGCUUAACUCCGGGUCUGCAUUCGAUACGGGCAGGCUAGAGUUCGGUAGGGGAGAUCGGAAUUCCUGGUGUAGCGGUGAAAUGCGCAGAUAUCAGGAGGAACACCGGUGGCGAAGGCGGAUCUCUGGGCCGAUACUGACGCUGAGGAGCGAAAGCGUGGGGAGCGAACAGG